rnacentral:rRNA from 1 species
UGGUAGUGUAUUGGACAACCAUGGCUCUCACGGGUAACGGGGAAUUAGGGUUCGAUUCCGGAGAAGGAGCCUGAGAAACGGCUACUACAUCUAAGGAAGGCAGCAGGCGCGUAAAUUACCCAAUCCUGACUCAGGGAGGUAGUGACAAGAUAUAACGACGCGACUAAAAAUCGCGAUUGUAGUGGGGGUAUUCUAAACCGAACCACUAGUACGAUUGGAGGGCAAGUCUGGUGCCAGCAGCCGCGGUAAUUCCAGCUCCAAUAGCGUAUAUUAAAGUUGUUGCAGUUAAAAAGCUCGUAGUUGGAUUUCAAGGAACGCAGUAUGGAUUCAUGCUGCCUCCUACCAGUCUUUGACUGUUACUGUGAGAAAAUUAGAGUGUUUCAAGCAGGCUGUUGUAGGAAUACAUUAGCAUGGAAUAACGAAUGUGUCUAGAAUCUUGGUUAUUCUAGAUUACGAUUAGUAGGGACAGUUGGGGGCAUUAGUAUUUAAUUGUCAGAGGUGAAAUUCUUGGAUUUGUUAAAGACUAACGUAUGCGAAAGCAUUUGCCAAGGAUGUUUUCA